UGGGGAAUUUUGGACAAUGGGCGAAAGCCUGAUCCAGCCAUGCCGCGUGAGUGAAGAAGGCCUUCGGGUUGUAAAGCUCUUUCAGCCGGAAAGAAAACGCAUGGGUUAAUAACCUGUGUGGAUGACGGUACCGGAAGAAGAAGCACCGGCUAACUACGUGCCAGCAGCCGCGGUAAUACGUAGGGUGCGAGCGUUAAUCGGAAUUACUGGGCGUAAAGCGUGCGCAGGCGGUUUUGUAAGACAGAUGUGAAAUCCCCGGGCUUAACCUGGGAACUGCAUUUGUGACUGCAAGGCUAGAGUACGGCAGAGGGGGGUAGAAUUCCACGUGUAGCAGUGAAAUGCGUAGAUAUGCGGAGGAACACCGAUGGCGAAGGCAAUCCCCUGGGCCUGCACUGACGCUCAUGCACGAAAGCGUGGGGAGCAAACAGGAUUASAUACCCUGGUAGUCCACGCCCUAAACGAUGUCAACUGGUUGUUGGGUCUUCACUGACUCAGUAACGAAGCUAACGCGUGAAGUUGACCGCCUGGGGAGUACGGCCGCUAAGUUG
rnacentral:rRNA from 1 species